UCAGUAAGAUCUUUCAUACUUG
rnacentral:miRNA from 1 species